UACUUUCCAGCUUGAUAACUUGCUGCCAUCAUUGAAUUAUGUUAUUUAUCUUUGAAGAUUUUCACCACUGUUGGAGAAAAAAAUCAAAAGAUAGAAGACUCUCAGCCUGCCUUUAGGAACAAGGUUAAAUAGUAAUUACAACUGCAAUUUACAAGGUGCAGAAAUAUGAUCCAAAAAGUUUGAAAGAGACAGCAUUGCAGUUUCCUGGAGAUGCCACCCACAUGAAGAAGGGAAACUGACUUUGGGAUGAUCUUCCUAUCAAAGAAGAGAGAUCGAUGCUAGGGUUAUAUAUCUUCAACAACAGUCUAACUGGACUCUUGCAAAUCCAACAUCCAGGUUAUUGACUCAGUUUUAGCCCAGACUAAUUUUGCUUUGAGAGAAAACUUACUUCUCUCAGGCCACUAACUAUUCCCAUAUUAUGUGCAUUACUUCCCCGAUGAUUAAUUGUUAUUUCUUACAUUUGUGAUGGAAUCAAAGCCUAAGAGAAGCAUUGUGAAAAAGGGAAUUCUCUAAGCAUUACAUCUCUGGCUUUUUUUGGUUUUCAACCCUCAAACUCUAAAGACCAACAGGUGAUGAAAAAGAGACAGAAGUGACUAGGAAGAGGGUUUGCUAGCACAGCUCCUGUCCACAGGGAUGCCAACUUCAAGUGCACCAUUGCAGAGUAUUAGUUUUAUCCACAAGAGGGAAAAGAAUACAAAAGGUGAGCGAUAGAAAUAACCAUCUUCCAACUUCCUUGAUGGUGCCUGGAAGGAUUAAAAAUGUAGCCAACAGACAACUAUUUCAGCCAUCCACAUCCUUGCUGAAAGAAAUGUUUGGGGAGGAGACUGCUGGAUGUCCCAAGCGCUUUUCAAUCGCUAUCUUGAGAAAUGUGUCCUUUGUUUUCAAACCACGUAGAGAUUCUUCUGCUUUUAUUUCUUCAAUCCAACUCAGAUCUCUCUUUGGACACGCUGAAUAUUGAUGAACUGAGCUCUAAAUCCUGUUAGUUUCCUAAUUUUUCUGUAUUGUGCCUACCUAAUACAUUCUGAUUGGAUGGUUUAGAGUUGGGGAUAAAGACAUGUUGGCUGGAAAAUUACAUGAGUUGUAGAUCAAACCAUACGCAGAUGAUCCUCACAUAGGCCAGUCAUUUAUGUAUUGAACAGUAGACAUUAAAGACCUUGGCAGCUAGCCUUUAGAGAUACGAACCCAGGAAAGUUGUCCUGAAAAAAUAUGGCUAUUAUACACAGGAAACAACGAGACAUUAAAUCAAAACCUGAAAACAUUUUUUUUUUAAAUUAUGAAAAUCAAAGUGAAAUUGAAGCUAAAUAUUACUUAUAUCACACUGGAAAAUACAGGCUCCAGAGUUUACAAACAUAUGGUUAGCAGGAGAUAGACCAAAACAUCCCCUGUUCACAUUGUAAAAUGCUUGUUUUUUCUGCUGAUUAUUCUGCUCAUUGGCUCUUUUUCCUUUUCAAGACAUACAGUAUUUGGACUGGUAGCAAUGAUGUCUCAGUCUGUGUUGUUCCUAUAAUGCAUUUAACCAAGACAGGUUUACUAUAUUAUGGAAACCCUAGAGCCAUGGCCCUGAAGAUAAGUUUUAGUUUUAGCCAGAAACAAUCUGGGUUGUUGUUUUUUCAAGCUUACCAUGUUUUUACCAGUCAUGAAGAUAGAAGAUAGAGUGAAGAUAGAAGAGAGCGUUAAUAAGAUUCAACAUUCUCAUCCAGCUACUGGCAGAGGGCUGAAAUUUUAGAACACCUCCAUUGAAUCAAGAUUUCUUUGGGAAAACA